AUUGAACGCUAGCGGGAUGCUUUACACAUGCAAGUCGAACGAGUGGCGGACGGGUGAGUAAUAUAUCGGAACGUGCCCAGUAGCGGGGGAUAACUACUCGAAAGAGUGGCUAAUACCGCCAACUAUUGGCGCGGGCGAUAUCGGAUUAGCUAGUUGGUGGGGUCAAGGCUUGCCAAGGCAACGAUCCGUAGCUGGUUUGAGAGGACGACCGGCCACACUGGGACUGAGACACGGCCCUGGUGCCUCCGGGAUGCAGCAGUGGGGAAUUUUGGACAAUGGGGGAGACCCUUGUCCAGCCAUCCCGCGUGUAUGAGAAGGCCUUCGGGUUUUAAAGUACUUUUGGCAGAGAAGCGGUAUCUGCAGAAUAAGCACCGGCUAACUACGUGCCAGCAGCCGCGGUAAUAC
rnacentral:rRNA from 1 species